rnacentral:lncRNA from 1 species
GUGCUGGGAUGACAGGUGUGAGCUACUGCAUCCAGCCUCAAAAUCUUUCCGAUGACUGUAUCCAUUCUUAUGUAUGUCUCAUAUUUCCUUCACUAUGUCUUGCAGUAUAACCAUGUUCUGUGUGGCUAUGGGGGAUACCACAUGAAUCUCUGUACCUCGUUACCCUCAUUGAAAGCUGAUACCAUGUGAACGGUUCUCUGGACCUUCUUUCGGAUGCUUCCAGUUCCACAAAAUAGGCACUAAAAAAUUCAUUUUCUUAUGUCAGAGUCCCAGUUAUCAUUGUUAUGGUUUUGAGAAAGCUAUGAACUUUGCUUAUAUAAAUACUGAACAUUUUUCUUAAGGUUCUGCCUCUAGUACCAUGUUGCUGAAGUACCAGCCCUGGCUGGUAUACUCUGCAAACUUCUGACUUUCUAGUUUGACCCCCUAAAAAUAAAAACUUGGAAUCCUGAAUUUAAAAAAAGCUGAGAAGGUUUUACAUUGCAGGAAUUCUCAGAGCUUACACUAUGCUACUGUGCUUCGAAGAUCUCUAAGAGAGUUAAAAGACGCCCCGCUUUCCAAGAUUUUGACAAGGAACAAUGUAUCUACGGAGCAUCUUGAAGCAGUCACAUUCAGUGCAGAUACUUGGGGAGAUGCUUAUCUCCUUUAUAUGGUUUUACAAGGCCUUUCUCAACCCAACCUCCUCUCACCCAUCUGACCACAUCUCUCUGUUCCGCAUUUUUUAUUUAUUUAUUUAUUUAUUUUUUUGAGACGGAGUCUCGCUCUGUUGCCCAGGGUGGAGUGCAGUGGCGCGAUCUCAGCUCACUGCAAGCUCUGCCUCCUGGGUUCACGCCAUUCUCCUGCCUCAGCCUCCCAAGUAGCUGGGACAACAGGCGCCCACCACCACACCCGGCUAAUUUUUUUUUUUG